AGGAGAGUGUCGGUGGGAGAUAGAUGCUUCAUCUUGAGGCCUGUAGCAUGAGCCCAGAGAGGGAUGGAGGGAAUCUCAAGGCUGAAAUCUGAAAGUAAAUUCUAGAGGAAUCACAGCACACUUCGACCCAUAACAGCCGUCUUGGGUGUUCAGCCUGGUGGUGCCUCCAGACAACUCCAGCUCCAGACGCCAUCUGAUGGAGAUCUCCUGAGAGCCCGUGAGUGAGAACCGCCCAGCUGAGCCCGGUCACCUCAGAGUUGCGGGAGUCGUUUUUCGCUACCAAGUUUGGGGUGGUGUUUACAUUGC
rnacentral:lncRNA from 1 species